GAACGCACAUUGCGCCCUUUGGUAUUCCGAAGGGCAUGCCUGUUCGAGCGUCAUUAUCACCCCUCAAGCCCCCGGCUUGGUGUUGGACGGUUUGGUGGAGACCCCCCGCGGGCUUCCCACCCCUCCCAAAGACAAUGACGGCGGCCUCGUUGGACCCCCGGUACACUGAGUUCUUCACGGGACACGUACCGGACACACGGGUUUACGGGCCACGGUCUGCCUCCCCUCAGGGAGAAUCUUUCUCAAGGUUGACCUCGGAUCAGGUAGGGAUACCCGCUGAACUUAAG
rnacentral:misc_RNA from 1 species